rnacentral:lncRNA from 1 species
AGCGAGAAAGGGAACGGAGAGGAAGGGAGGAGCAGUUGUGGUGUUGAAGUGCAGGGUCAACCACUCUCACGGUGUAGUUGUCGUAGUUGAUUGCUUGAACAUGGUAUUCUGUAGAGUUCAGAUACAACACAGUAACAUUAUUCUCACAACCAAGUUCGUACCUUUUGUCACCGCAGCUCUCUGGGUCGCCUUGUAAUCGAAAAGGAUAAGUGAUGUUGGUGAUGUUACCACAGGAAGAAGGUGGACAACGGUGUUCUUGGUGGUCCUUGGUAGCAGAAAUAUGGUGGAGUAGAAUAAGUAGCAAUACCACCAACAAUGUUCUCUCGAACCUCAUCAUGUCCAAACUGUUUCUCUUUCAAUUCAAGAGCAACCAAUUCCAAGUUAUAUAAUGUUAUUUAAAACAACACAGACUCAAUACAUAACCCUAAAGGACCACAUUUUUCCUUUCUGAGAAUACUUUGAAGACUUACGAUACUUCAAACGCAAAUUUGACUGAGAAACGGGGUGUCUAUCUGGUUUCCACAGCUCAUCCUAAUGAAUACAAACUUUUAAAUACUCGUCAAGGGCGUGAAUUCUUAUUAGGCUUUUGGUCAUGUACAUUUUUUUAAUGGAGUUCUUCGAGUUUCUAAAGUCAUCCUAAAUUGUUCUAACUUGAAGGUUUUAUUUACCUGCAGUCUAAAAGAAUAUUUAGGGAAUUAGUUUGGGAGCCAAAUUGAAUAAAUAGUCCAUGACUUAUUUAAAUAAGGACAAAACCCUAAAUAUAUUACAAUAAAUAAAGGAAAAGUUAUCAAAAUGAAAUUUCAUAUCGUGAUCCAAAAGCAAUGUUUACAUAAUGCAUUUGAUUUUUUUCUACUUCAAAUAUUUGAAAAUUAUCCAAGGGCUAAAAGUUCCGCAAGUGUAGACUUGUGACCAAAAGAAUAUUAUCCAUGUUGAUAAGCUUUAUAUGAGUUUAACAGGUUUUCUCUUACAUAAACACUUUAUAUAUGCAAAUAUAUAAUUGACGUAGUCAAAUGACAGUGUACAUAUAACUAAUUAAUAGUUAUUGAUUGGUACAUAUAAAUAAUUAAUACUACGGCGAAGAGACGUGCUUUAUUAUUGUAUCUGUAUCUCUGAAUUAAAAUUCCAUAUCAUCUUCAUAUAUUAAAUAUAUAUGAAUUUUUUUAUUUCAUUUUCAUUCUUUUCUCAUCACCGACAAUGCUUCCUCUCUCCACAUGAUGUCCAACCCAAACUGUUUCUCGUUGAAUAGUGCAAAAAUCAAAGUUAGAUAAUGAUAUUUAAAACAACACAAACUGUAUAUAUAUAUAUAUACAUAGAGAGAACCAUAUUUUUUCUUUUAGACAAUUAUCUGAUGACUUGUGAUACGUUUACUUUGAUUGAGAAACCGCGUUUUUAUCUCGUUUCCACCACUGAUUUUAUUAAUAAAUACGAAAUUUUAAAUACGUUGUGUAGUGAAAGGGAUUUGGGUUGACAGGGAUCUUUGUGAGGAAGAUCGGAGAGAUGUGGUACCGAUAGGGGAAGAAAAUAAAUAUGAUAGUUACCGGAUAAUGAGUAGGCAUAGUGUGCGAGAUCCUAAAGGGAGACGUCAGGAUGAUCGGAAAUAUCAUAGGGAAGAUCGGGAGAAGUAUUGUCUCGAGAUGGAAGAAAAUAAAGGUGGUAGUUAUGGAAUGGUUACUGAAGAGAGUGUGCGAUUUGACGGAGCGAAAAUCUAGGGAUCAGGUAAACAGUCCUGAUUAAGAGGCUGAGUUGGCGGAGGAAGUUACGGAGCACUUGGACCUGUCCUAUCACUGCUCCUAUUUUGGUGGAAUUAUUCUCCUAUAAAUAGAAGAGCAGAUUUCAGGUAUGGGUUAGACUGUUUUUCGAUAGAUUUUGCUGGAGUGAUAGCAAAGUGAAGAGCGAAUUGAAGGUGGUCCUUUGAUAUCUCGUUCCCAACCGAAACACGUUGGAUAUAAAAAGUGAGACAAACUUUAGCUUACAAUUUUCUGACUAUAAAUUACGCUCGGAAAUAUAUAUAUAUCUAAUAUGUCUUUUCUAAUCAAGUUUGUUAGAACCUAAGAAGUUUUCUAACAAAUAAAAAAUUUUCUCAAUCACAUGCUUCUAUAUAUGUAGAUUCAAAAUUCACACCACAAUCAUAUUUUAAUCCUUAAUGAACUGAAACUUCAAUUUAUGAUAAAAAUAAGAUAUCAAAAGCGUACUAAUGUGGACAACGGUGUGUGAUUUUUCUUUCGUUAUUGUUUUUUUUUUUCUUUCCCGAUGAAAUAAAGAGAAUACAUCUUUUAAGGUACUUAAUAUUACCUUUCUUAGAUUUGAGUUAUAAGAUCACUUAGUAGUAAAGUUGGAAUUAUCAGCUGCAUUGUGCUCUCUCAUCUCCAAACGAACAUUGGAUGCUCCCGUUUCAUGCGCUGCAUUAUCGCUCUCCCGCUCCUCGUUUCAUGCGGUUCGGAAAAAAAAAAAAAAAAAAAAAAAGAGGGGAACNAAAAAAAAAAAAAAAAAAAAAGAAGGGGAACCCACCUUCCUACUCUCGCGAGGUUUCUAUUUUCUCUCGGCUCGGCUUAAAACUUCGAUAUCAGAGAGAAUAUUAUCAACUUCGACCUUUGGCUUUUCCUUCUUUGUUCAAGUCAACUACAAUAAUUUCAAAGACCAAUACGAAAAUUGAAAAAACUUCAGCCAUUUACUACAAUAAUUCCAGACAAUCAUUAUAGAGUUUGAAAAGAAUUUCAAUAUUUCCUUGCCUUUUAUUUAAAAUUAAGAAAAAAAUUAUCAAUGUUGUAAAAAUGUGUAGCUGUGUAAAUUGAAAAUGCGGCAUUUAACAAAUAUGCAAUCAAUCAAGUACAUGCAUGUAGAAAUGAACUGGCACUGCAUCAUCAGCCAUGGGAAUAAAUAAUCAAGUGAACUACUAAUAUUAUGAGCAGAUGAAGCAAAUUGUGAGCUGAUUUGGUGAAGCAAAAGUCGACAUAAAAUAAAAUAAUUUAAUGAAAUCAGUAACAAGAGGAUAAUUUACUAUGAAUUAACAAGGUUAAUAAAAUCCAAGGCUAGGCAUAGGUAAUGAACCUACUUCUUUUUCUUCUUUUUGAUCUUCUGUUCAUUCACGGCUUGUGAGAAUAAAAGUUGGACAUGGCUAAAAAAGUGCUACUCUUCCUAAAAGUAUAUUUAUAAAGGUAUAAGUGUUCUUGUAACUAUCUGUCUCGUCUUAAUACUUACUAUCUUUAUUUUUCUCAACUAUCAAGAUCUUCAAAAACUAGAAAUGUCAACAUUUCCAAACAAACGAUCUUUCAUUAAAGAACUCCAUCAUGAAUGGAAAUAUGUAGGAGUAAGGUCAAUCUUUCGAGUUUACUUCUAAACCAUCAAAUCAUUUUCUAAAAUCGUUUUCAAAUAGUUUUAUAAGGAACUACAUAACCCUUAAUGUCUUAUUUUAAAAGAUAAUGCAUAAGAGUAAGGUCAAUUCUUGUCAAGGUAAAAAAAAAACAUUUUUGUUGCUUUUGAGUAUUAUUUUUAAGGAAAAUUAAACAUAAUUGAUUGAGAAUUUACUUUGAUUAAUUAACUUCUAAUUUCUUUAGGAGAUUUAAGAAUAAACAUGAUUAAACACAAUAAGAUUUGAUUGAAAAUAUACUUUGGUUGAAUUCAUUGUGAAUAAUCUAGAAAGGUCUUGCAUUUGAUUGAAAAUCUACUUUGCUUAACUGUAUAGUCACCCUCAAGUUAAUUAAGAAUGUACUUUAAUUAAUUUGAAACCCGAAAAAUGAUCAAUUGAACAAUAAUAUGUGGAUACCAAUAAUGAAUCUAUCUUGAAAGAGGAUUUGAAUUAGUCUAUUUCAUUAUAAUUGUUUCUAAGUUUCCUAUUUGUUCUUCAAACAUUCUUCAAAUAUUAACUUCAUUGGCAUAGUUUGUCACUUUUAUUCUUGAAUAACAUUCAUAAUUAAGAGUCAAAUAUUGAAAAGUAAUUCCGUAUUCAUUGGGAGACGACUCAUGUUAUUUUAACCUUAUAUACUUUCUUAAAAACUACUUGACAAUACUGAAGUUUCCUUGAAAUUAGUAUUAAUUUAAUAGUUUCAACGGCAACAUAUCAGAGUGAAACCAGUUUUCCAUUUGGACUUUGAACUUCCUUGAGAUUAGUCGAGUUCAUCAUGUUGAGUAUAGCUUCACACAUGUCUGGACGGGCCCCUAUCUAAUGUUGGGUUAUCAUGAACCCUUAGAAUUUGUUUCCGCCUACAUUAAAAAAGCACUUUUCUGUAUUAAGUCUCUUAUUAUUAAGGCAUACCUUUUCGAAGAUGACUUAAUGGUGCGCUAGAUGGUUGUCAGCAACUGUGGACAUCAUGACAAUGUCAUUUACUUAGACCUCCAUUAUACUUCCUAUGAGGUUAACGAACACAUUGAACAUCAAACACCGAUAGGUGGCCCUAGCAUUUUUCAGGCCGAACGACUUGACCUUGUAAUAAUAAUUGGUUCCUUCAGUCAUGAAUAGAGCUGUCAAAACGGGUAACCCAACUCGACCCGGCCCGGCCCACCACGAGUUGGUCACUUAGUGAGCCAACCCGACCCGACUCAUUUAUUAGUGAGCCAGAAAAAUUUGAACUUGGCUCGACCCACCACGGGUUGGUGGGUAAACGAGUUGGUUCACUAGUCCAUUUAAUUAGAGUUUUUCUUAAAUAAAAAAUUACAAACUUUCUAUAUUCAAAUUUAAACGAAUUUCACUCCCAAAAAAUGAUGUUAAACUGAAGACAAUUCAAAAUAAUAAUAAAAAGUACAAUAUAAUCCAAAGGUCAUCCAAAAACAAACACAUAAAAUAUACAAAAAACCUGCUCCUUGAAAAAUUUAAGUGAAGAAGAGUGACAACACCGUAAAUGAGAGCAAGUUCUGUGAGAGCAGAGGUUACUUUUUUGGUAUACACAGUGUGUGAAAAAAGUAUUUUAUUUUUUAGGGUUUCAUAAAUAAAAUAAAAAAUUAAAAAAAUAAAAUUAGGUAGGUGGGUUGGCGGGCCAACCCAGCUCACCACGGGUUCAACCCGCAUGAGCCGAGUUUAAAUGAGUCGGGUUGAAAUCUGACCGCAUAAAAAAAAUUAUUUUUUUCAAACUCAACCCGACCCGAACCUGUGAUAAGUCGGGUUAGCUCGUGGGUUGUGAUCCAUUUUGAUGGCUCUAGUCAUGAAGAUCUCGUCAUCUCUUCAUCUAACAGAUAGAUUGCUAGUUGCAUUUGGAAAACUUAACUACUCGUACCUUGUUAUACAAGUUGAUUUAUGAUAGUCAAUAGAUAGUGUCUUUUGAACAUGCUUGAGGUUCUGACAAUCAUAAAUCUAUCAAAAUAAUGAAUUAUUACUUUUCUAAUGACAACAAUUUGAUUAAUGAUUGAAUUAACAAUAAAAAAUCUAAAUUAUAGUCACUAAAUUGGUGGUUAUUUAUGUAAAAUUUGAAUUAAUGUUUUUAACUAUCGAUAAAAUGUUAUAUUAGGGACUGAUUUUAAUAAAGUUACAAAUAAAUAAUUUAUUUUUGCCACUACAUUUGCAACCAAAUUUAUUUUUGUAAAUAAUGACUUCAAAGUAUAAAGUUAACCAUUGACAAGCUAUGGUGUGCAUAAUAAUAUACUUUAUGAAAGGAUUGAAUUAAUUUACAUUACAUGCAUUAAUAAGAAGUUGCACUACACUACUACAUAAAGCAUACUAUUUAAAAAACAUUUACAUCUAUUAUUCAAACAACAGAAUAAAAGUGCAGUAGUAGAAUUGUAGAUAUCAAAACAUGUUUAUCAUUGAUUAAAGAACUACAAAUAUAACAUUUCACUUGCUUCCCCUUUUCUUAUUUUUCACCAAUGCAAUGCCAUUUCUCACCCUCUUUUUUCCCGCAACCUGCAAUUACCUUGAUCGAUUUCAAUUACUACCAAAUGAAUUCAUUCAAAAUUGUUUAGAUAGAACAGGAGGUUUGAUUCCCAAAACUCAUUUCAUCAGGAAAUAAAGUAGGUUUUGGAGGUAUUUCCAAAUCUUCAAUGUCUCCUUAAAGCAUUUCCACUACUAUUGAGGGACAAUCAUUUGGUUUUAACUGUAUAUACACCAAAGUGCAACUAUGAUCAUUUUCUUUACUAUUAGCUUUUCUUCUUCGCUCAAAUCCUUUAUAUCUAUAUCUUCCUCUUCUCUAAUAUGAUUAUAUAUUCAAAGAGGAAAAUAAAGUUGACUUGAGUAUUCUGCAUUGGGAUUUAGAUUCUUCCUCUUGCUGGCCAUCUCCAUCAACAACAUUCUGAAACUAUAAACAUCAGCUCUGUAAGAUAUUCCUCCAAUAUUAUUAUAAAACAGUACUGGAUCCAUAUAUCCAAUGGUUCCUCUUGCUGCACCAUUGUGACGAAGCUAUUAUCUAUUGGAUAUAUGUAUACGGAUAUAUCAAUAAGUAAUUAUAUAUAGAUAUAUAUGUCGAUAAUUAUUUAUAAAUAUAUUCUUAUUUAAUUAUCUACAGAAAUUAUUUAUAGAUAUUUUUAUAGAUGCACUUAUGAAAAAUUUGUAUAUAACGUUAGUUACAACUAAUUUACUAACUGAUUUUUGUUCAUAAGUAAUUUGUAAAUAAAAUUGUUUUACCUUCAUAUUUUGUGACUUAACUACAAAUUUGUGCAGUAGGAAAUAGUGAUUUUUGUAAGAGCUUAAAAAGUUGUGUAGAACUUUAUAAAUAAGUUUCAUUAUUUUAAAAUACAUCAUUUUUUCAAUAUAUUUUUUUUAGAACUAUUUUCCUUCUCUUUAAGUUUUCUUAUCAUGUGUUCAUCUAUACGAAGAUCGGAGAUUGUGAGAGUGAUUCUUAUAACAAGUUUUUUGCUUUUGUCCGAUCAAUUACAAAAAUAGAAGGGUUAAAUAUGUUUUUAGUCCCUAUACUUUGGGGCGAUUUUGGUUUUAGUCUCUCUUUCAAACUAAGGUACAAUUUAGUCCUUCAACUUUAGAAAACUCUGGUUUUAGUUCUUUUUACCAAAUUUUUUUAACUUUAUUUGCUGUUUGACGCAUUUUUGCUUCAAUGUUAACUGAGAAACAUGCUUGAAACAGCAAAUAAAGUUUAAAAAAUUUGGUAAAAAGGACUAAAACCAGAGUUUUCUAAAGUUGAAAAACUAAAUUGUAUUUAGUUUGAAAGAGAGACUAAAACCAAAAUCGCCCCAAAGUAGAAGGACUAAAAACAUAUUUAAACCAAAAUAGAAAUAGUUGAUUUUUUUUAUCUCUUUUCUUAGUCUAUUAAUCUAUAUUUCACAUUUUAAAUCGCUUAAUAUGUUUCGUUUUUUAGGAAACCAAAACAAAUAACAAGGUAACAAUUUUGAAAAUUUCACGAACGUAUAACAAUUGUAAAAGAAUCGAAAUGAAGUCUAAAGGUAAGCUAAAAUUUUUCAUAUUUUUUAUAUUUAUUUAAAAAUGACAUAAGGUUUUGGUUGCAAAAGAACCAAAGCCAUAAACAUUUUUUGGUAUCGACCGAAGUGUUAGAAAAAUGUUGACAAAAUCACAAAAAAAAUUCCUGAGGCGUGUAGAGUCACUAUCCUUAAGGUCUUACCCGCGGUGUGUUGCGCAACUCCCCCAAGAUACAAUAGGAACUUCUCGAAAUAUAUUCGAGAUAAUAGAACUAGCAAGAAGCAAGAAACUCUGAUAGAGUUUAUACCCAGGAUAGAAAAUAAGAAUAAAACUAGGAAGAGAGGAAGAGAAUGAGAAAGACUCAUUUGGGAUGUUUUGCAAUGGAGAAAGAGCUCUCUAUUUAUAAAGUUAGGGAAGAAUAAAAUCAAUAAAAGACCAUAAAAGCAAUAAAUAAUUUGACCGUUGCAGCACUUAAAAAUUUGACUGUUGGAAUAUUACCGUUGAACAACGUUUCUUUUUGCAAUAAUAUAACAUUAUUACAACAAUCCCCCACUUAUUGCAAAAGAAAGUUGAGAGAAAAGAAAAGAAACUUUUAUCCUAGGGUCUCAUAGGAUGUAAUGCAUCAGAGCUGGUAUAUCAAGCUAUAUGAACCAGUCUGAGAUUGAGAAACUUAACACACAGUGUAGUUGGUAUAGCAAACUAUAUGAACCAAAGACACUUGACGUGUGUUAGAGGUUUAUCAACCACAAUACACCCGUACAAUCCUUGUUGUUAUCACUGUGUUGCGUUGUGUUGCGCUUACUAGGUCAUGCGCGUGCCCGGUAUUCAUGAGUGCUCUAGAGAUCAUGCCAAGAUCUCAUGCAAGCGGCCCCACUUACACUCAUAUAGGUGAUUUCAUCAAGUGCAUGCUGUAAAUCAUACACCACCCAUAAGGGAUACGAAAUCAUUAAAAACUUUGUUUAAGCUAAAAUUCUUUCAACACAGAGAAUUUUAAUAACAAAGUUUAGUCUCUCAAUAAUGCAGUCUCUAGUACUAUCACACACACCAUCACACACACCAUAGGAAGGGACAUAAUUGAUUAAAAUCAAUUUAGUGCUAUUAGAACUAACAAGUGACUUGUUUUUACCCAUAUGAACCUUAUUCAUGGGAUCUCCAAUCACAAAGGUUGGGUUAUCAUCACUUGUUUGUUUGCAAGUGGCUUAAGCCCCAUUCUCCUCAAUGUUUUAAAUAUCAUUUGUCUUCCCAGGGGUUUUGUGAGAGGAUCCGCUAGAUUCCGUUCUGACUCCACAUAAUCAAUAGAAGUAGAUACAUUCUUUAGUAGUUGCUUCACCAAAUUAUGUCUCAAUUGAAUAUGUCUAUUCUUUCCAUUGUAAUUCUUCUCUUUUAGCUAUAGCUAUUGCCGAUUGGCAAUCAUAGUAUAUUGAGAUUGAUGGGGUUUAUUUCAUUCCUAGUGGAAUGUUUGCUAAGAAGUUUUUCAACCACUCAGUCUCACUACCAGCCAUCUCAAGAGCAACAAACUCGGAUUCCAUUGUUGAUCUUGCAACAAUAGUUUGUCUGGCUGAUCUCCAUGUAAUCGCACCACCCCUAAGUGUGAAUACAUAACCACUAGUGGAUUUUGUCUCGUCUGAAUCAGAGAUCUAAUUAGCAUCACUGUACCCUUCUAGUACAACGGGAAAUCCACUAUAUUCAAUGGCAUACCUCUUAAGUAUCUCAUAAGCCUAGCAAUAUAUAGUUCUUCAAUGGCAUAAACCUUUUGAAAACAUAAAACUUUGGUUUUGAAAACAUAAAACUUCUUAAGAAGUUUCUCAAUAUAUAGUUCUUGGGAUAGUAACCCUUCCUUAUGAUUAUAACAUCUAAAAUUAUAUAAACUGAAUAGAUUCUAUGGGAUCUCUAAACCCAAUAGGUUUAAGCUGUAGCAACCCAAAGUCCUCAGAACACGUAGCCGUGGCCUCCGUGAACUCUCACCAUUGUAAGGAAAGGUACGACCCUCAUCACGGUUUGCUCUGAAGGAGCAUGCUUCCACGAUCCCGACGUUGUCGCGGUUAUACCUACUGUCACGAAGAGACGUUGUUGUGACCCACCACGGACACCAAUUGGACACGCCUAUUGCCAUUGCUGGCCUCUUGCCUCCAACUCGGCACUCUCGUUGAUCAUGCUCGCAAAGAAAAAAUUAGGAAAGAUGAGAGGAAGGAGAAAGUCUCCUUGCAUGAGACCAGGGAAUAAGAAAAUAACCCUUCAAAACUAGGUCUGACUUCCCUUCCAAUGUUGUAAUAAACUACACUACAUCUAAACUAAACUAAACCAGUAUGUUGAAGGCAAAGCUAAAAUCACUUAAUGGCAAAAUAUAAUUGAGAUGAUCAUUAAAAUAGUUAUGCCUCAAAUUAUAGCCCAAACAACAAUUCCAACAAUACUACCAGUAAUUAUUUCCUCAACACACUUCACACAUAAAUCACGACUAUAUAUCUCUCUUACACGCUUAACAAGUAUAGCGUUCACAAUUUUUUUUUAGUACAAAACAGAGAAUGAGUAUAUUUGAUUCAGCAUCAAUUAAAAAAAAAUUCUUUGCCUUUUUAAAAUAAUAUUUUAGUUCGUGUACAUAAUUAUCACAUAAAACAAAAAGAAGAAUGAAAGUAACAUUCCAUAGACUAAACAUAGGUAUGACAACAAUUUGAGUAAAACCACUAAAGUAUGCAAAACAACAUUCAACCUAUCAAGAAAAGUUCACGGCAAUUACAAUAUUGAAAGGAUUCCUAAUACAAAUAUCUAUCAUGCCAUAAUUCAUAUAUCAUUUUUCUCAAAUUAUAAAAGAAUAACAGGUAUUCCCAUAUAUUUCACCAAAUCCAUUCUACAUCAAAGCAUGUAUAAGAGAAUCUCCAUUUUUUUUUUCAAAGCAAUUAAUCAAAAUUAAUUGGCUUUAAUGCUACAGUUUUUUUUUUUUCAUUUCAGAAUACUUUAAGCAUAAUUGAUUGCCUAAUAUAACAUUGUUACGUUACAGCCACCAUAUUUACGUAUUCAUUUAAAUUAUUUUUCUCUUUAAAAUUCACAUCUCAUAAAAAUAAAAUUAAUUUCAUGUGGACAUAGAAAUAAUCAAUAUCUAAUGACCCUCAAACAAAUUUUCAUUGAUUAGAGAGAAUAUUAAAAAAUAUCACCAAUCAUUCAAACAAAAGACACAUAUCUAACAAAACAUUCAUAGAUAAAUUAUCAAUUAAUAAAUAAAUAUGAUUAGGUAGAUUUAAUUGAAUCAUCCAAUUAAUAAUUCGGGAGGUAAUUAGAAAUUAUCAUUUACGGAAACUAACAUUAACAGAUUUUAAAUUCCUAAUUAAUUUACAUUAUCAUCAUCCUUAAUCCUUCAUAAAUAAGAAACUUCAAUUUCUCAUAAAUUAUUAAUUAUAAUUCAAAGAAAACCAUAAUUCCUAAUUUAUUCUUUUAUACUAGCUUUUAUUCACUUCCUUUUAAAUUAUCAUUCAAAUAUUUACAUCAGAUUAUAUAUUAACGAGAAUAAACCUAAUGAGAACAACUAUAAUUUCAUACUUCUCCAAAUAAUCACACGUUCCAAUUAAUUAUUCAAAAACAUUCAAAAUUUCUAUCAAUCAAAUAAAUACAUAAUUAUUAAGUAAGUUUCCUGUACCUUUUACUUUUGAUAUAAGUCUUUAAUAUUGUUAGAAAAAUGCUGACAAACAAAAAAUUUCUUGAGGCAUGUAGAUGUUCUUAAGGAAUUAUUUGCGGUGUAUUGCGCAAGUCCCCCAGGAUAUAAUAAAAACUUCUCGAGAUAUAUUUGAGGAUCACAGAACUAGCAAGAAGCAAAAAACUCUGAUGGAGUUUAUACCAGGAUAGAAAAUAAGAAUAAAACUAGGAAGAGAGGAGAAUGAGAAAGACUCAUUUGGAAUGUUUUGCAAUGGAGAAAGAGCUCUCUAUUUAUAGAGUUAGGGAAGAAUAAAAUCAAUAAAAGAACAUAAAAGCAAUAAAUAAUUUUACCGUUGCAGCACUUAAAAAAUUGAGUGUUGAAAUAUUACCGUUGAACAACGUUUCUUUUACAAUAAUCUAACAUUAUUACAACACGAAGUCGAAAAGUGUACUAAAACUUUCAAAUUGUUUUAAAAAAAUUUACUAGAACCUAUUUAUUUUUUGUGAAAAAGAUAUAUGGCCUCAGAGGUUUCAAAUAACUAAAACCAUAUGCCCUUUCUAUGUGAACAACCGAAGUUACAAGUAAUUAAAAAUUUUAAAAUUAAAUAUCUAUUUCGUUUUAAAAAAUCUAGAGGUAUCAAAAUUCUACGAAGGACUUUAGCUUUUCUUCUAGUAAUGGGCAGAGAAGAAGCAUCGAAAGCAUAAAUAUAUGGUUUUAGAAUCAAAGUCAAUAUUUGUUGAGAUUAUUAAUUCUGAAAUCUGAUAUUCAUGUAACUAUUUUAAAGUAUAAUAACAUGUCCAUUUAUCACAUACUUCACUACAAAAUACAAAAAUGAUAAACAAAGUGAAACAUUACGAACAACCGAGUAUUUACAAUAAGAAGAUGGAUGAAAAUAAGUAUUAUUGUGCAUCGUGGAAUUGUAUAUACUUUACAAGCGAAGUAGUUUCAACAUUGAAUAUAUCUAGUUGGAGUUUAUUGUUUGAUCCUCUGUCACUGUUUCAUCUGGAUAUAGAAUAGGUUUUGGAGGCAUUUCUAAGUCUUCAAUGUCUCCUUCAAGCAUUUCCACUACUUUAUUCAUUGAGGGGCGAUCAUUUGGUUUCAACUGUAUACACCAUAGUGCCACUAUAAUCAUCUUCUUUACUAUUGUCUUUUCAUCCUUUGUCAAUUCUUCCAUUUCAGUAAUUUCCUCUUCUCUAAUGUGAUUAUAAAUCCAAAGAGGAAAGUAAAGUUGACUUGAAUGUUCAGCAUAGGGGUUAAGAUUCUUUCUCUUACUUGCCAUCUCCAUCAAGAGCAUUCCAAAACUAUAAACAUCAGCCUUAUUGGAUAUUCCUCCAAUAUUAUUAUAAAACAAUUCUGGAGCCAUAUAUCCAAUGGUUCCUCUUGCUGCAGUCAUUGGAAUAAUACUGUUAUCUAUUGAAUAUAACUUUGCCAAUCCAAAGUCAGAGAUCUUGGGGAGAAAGUUUUCAUCAAGGAGGAUGUUGUGGGGUUUGAUAUCAAAAUGCAAAAUCUUCAUCUCACAACCAUGGUGGAGAUAAGCUAUUCCGCGAGCCACUUCAAUUGAUAUAUUAUAUAUUUUUUCAUAACUUAAAUGUACACUCUCAUCCUUUGAAAAAAUAAAUUUAUCAAGAGAUCCAUUGGACAUGAAUUCAUACACAAUAUAACGCUUUGAGCCAUGAACACAAAAUCCAAUUAAUUGUACCACAUUUUGAUGAUGUAUUCUUCCAAUUGUUGCAACUUCGCUAAUAAAAUCUUGUCCAUUUCCUUUAGAUUUAUCUAACAUUUUGAUUGCCACACAAGGUCCACUGCAUAACUUUGCCUUAAAGACAGAACCAAAUCCUCCUUCACCUAACUUGUCUUUGAAACCUCCGGCCAUCUUCUUAAUUUCCUUGUAUGAGUAUCUAAUCGGUGCCAUAUUAUACUGUUCAAGAUAAUUUUCAAUAUUUUGAUACAUUGAUGCAUGUCUUUUCCUCCAUUUAGAUAUGAAAAUCACGAUUAAGAAUGGAAAUCCAAACAAAAUUUUGUAGGCCCAUACCAUAGAAGCAUAAAUGACAAUACCUGUAACAAGGAUUUCUUUCUCGUAUAAUUACACUGAUAAUGUAAUGUAUUAAAGUAUUUGUUAAAAGUAAUAAAAUCUAAACUUUACAUAUCCAUUUACUUAGUAACAUUAGAAAAAAAAAAGAGUAAAUUUAAUGUCUAGCAAAAAAAACUAUCAAUAAAUUCAAUUUGUUGACAGUAUUAUCUAUAAAUGGUAAAUUAAGAUGAUAAAAAUUCGUACCUUUCAGGAUAUCCAGUAAACCUGUACAUCGCAAAAACAAGGAAAGCAUAAAUUUCACCAUUUGCAUAAUUUCAUAAAGCUAUAAUGAAUGAUUUUUUCUUUACAUGAGCAUGAUGACUGAUACAGGUGAAAUAAAGAAAAUAAUGAAUUAUAAAUUUUGUUUUCUCUAAAUAUUGAUUGAAUAAACAAAACAAUGGUUUAUCAAUAAUACCCAAUUAAAAAUAAUCUAUCAAUCUGUGUGUGUAGUGACUCACCAAACGAGCAUUGAAGCUUCUGUCUAGAAGAGUCGAAAUAGCAGAAGCCGUCCCCGAAUGUACAAGAAAUCUUCUGACAGGCGAGUUUUAUCCAAGAGAUCUCAAAUCCAUAGGCGAGAGCCCUGUGAAUGGCAGCGUAUGAAUGGUUAUUGAAACUCCUGAACGAUGUGGGAGCAACAAGCUUCACGUCACACCCUACUUCUAAGUCUUCAGCUUUUAGGUCUCCACCCACUGCAUAUGCAUAACCUUUUGAGUCCCACUUCACGCACUCACCAUUCUCCGUAUACUUCCCGUUCUCUCUCACCGAAUGGUUACAGUUCAGAAAUACUAUAUGCUCGAAACUCAGAGAUUCCCAAUUUUGAUAAAGAUAUAGACCGGCUUGGUAUAGAUCGGCGGAGUCAGUGUAAGUAUCAGAGAAAUUGGAGCGAGAGAGAGAACGGAGAGGAAGGGAGGAGCAGUUGUGGUGUUGAAGUGCAGGAUCAACCACUCUCACGGUGUAGUUGUCGUAGUUGAUUGCUUGAAUAUGGUAUUGUGUAGAGUUCAGGUACAACACAGUAACAUUAUUCUNACAACCAAGCUCGUACCUUUCGUCACCGCAAUUCUCUGGGUCGGCUUGUAAUCGAAAGGGAUAAGUUAUGUUGGUGAUGUUGCCACAGGAAGAAGGAGGGCAGCCACCAUGAAUUUUGGGGAGUAGAAGUAGCACCACCACCAUGAAUGCUCUCUCUCUGCACAUAAUGUCCAAACUGUUUCAUUGAAUUUGGAAACAAUAGGGUUGCUCUUUUUCCAUAUUGAUAUUUAAAAUAACACAGAUUGAUAACUAUAAGAAAAAGCA